rnacentral:rRNA from 1 species
CGUUAACGCUGGCGGCAGGCCUAACACAUGCAAGUCGAACGGCAGCACAAGAGAGCUUGCUCUCUGGGUGGCGAGUGGCGGACGGGUGAGGAAUGCAUCGGAAUCUGCCCAUUUGUGGGGGAUAACCUCGGGAAACCGGGACUAAUACCGCAUACGACCUACGGGUGAAAGCAGGGGAUCUUCGGACCUUGCGCAGAUGGAUGAGCCGAUGCCGGAUUAGCUAGUUGGAGGGGUAAAGGCCCACCAAGGCGACGAUCCGUAGCUGGUCUGAGAGGAUGAUCAGCCACACUGGGACUGAGACACGGCCCAGACUCCUACGGGAGGCAGCAGUGGGGAAUAUUGGACAAUGGGCGCAAGCCUGAUCCAGCCAUGCCGCGUGUGUGAAGAAGGCCUUCGGGUUGUAAAGCACUUUUGUUGGGAAAGAAAAGCAGCCGGUUAAUACCCGGUUGUCAUGACGGUACCCAAAGAAUAAGCACCGGCUAACUUCGUG